GUUCUUGGUCUCAGUCACAUCUGAAAGAGCAAGUGCAAAUGUCUCCUGUUCACUAAGGAUAUCCAGCUCACUCUCCUCACCACACUUGUGCUCAUGUUGUUCCCUCGGCCUCAAAUGCACCAACAGACAUGUAAUAGGCACCCCUUAUAUGCCAAGCAUGAUGUCAGGAGCUGGGAAUACAGGGUGAAUCAGCUAAGCCCUGCUUCCAAGAGCGGCAUGCUGUUAAAGGGGAAAGACGCUUAUGUGGUAACUAUGCAACUCAAGUGUCACUACUAGAGGAUAUGGAGGUAUAUUUGUUAGUAAAGGCAUGGCUACCUAUGUUUGGAAACAGCCAAUAUGCUGAGGUGACAGAAACAGAAAGCAGAAGUUGUGAGAGCCUGUGCAUGAGUUAGUCACCUAUGAGGAACACUGAUGUGCUGAAGAGGAGGCUGCAGAGGCCUCAUGUACACGAGCCUGAGCGUGGUGAGCCAAGAAGGGAGCUGCAGACUGACUGGAUGGGGUACAGCCUGAGAUUCCUGUGGUCUCUGGUUCAGGGCCCUGCUUCUCAUGCUGGGGACGUCUCUACCAUGGGUAAUACCCCAGGAAUCCUCACCACCUAACCUGAUCCACCUGGAGGAACCCCGGCUUGGGAGAUGGCAGGGCAGAUGCUCUUGGCAGCAUUCAGGCCUGGGCUUAAGUUACUCCCUGAUGUGGCCAUCUGCUAUGCCCCAGGGAUAGGAAGGAAAAAUGGGCCUGAAGGAAAGGAGGUAAAAGAAGUAGAAUGAGGGUCAACACACUCAGGGAGCACAAGGCAGGAAAGUAGAGAGACCAACUGAGAGAGUGGAGGGCGUACCCUUGUUGAGUCUGGAAGGAAAGAGGAGGAGCUGUGGAGAGGCACCAGGAUAACCCUGUGCUGAAGGGCAAGGUAGAGAGACCCCAGAGUGAGGGUCUAUAAAAAUGUCCUGAUCCCCCCAGCUCCCAGGACAAGGGGAUGGAAGCCAGCGAGAAGCAGAGUGAAGUCCUGAAGCUGAGCGUUGUAAUGUCUCGGUAGACCUGUGGGAAAGCUGGCUGCAGCCUCAGGAUGGAGGUCUGGAAGACAGAAGGUACACAAGGGGCCCCUCUCCAUCCACUCACCAGGGCUUGUUGCUUCUGGGCUUCCUCCUGCCAGAGGCUCCAGAUCUUCACUGCCAUCUGGGUGGGAGGUCAGGUUGGGUCUUGGGGGGUCUGCAGGGAGAGAAAAGCAUUGUCACCCAACCAGGACAUGGAGGACCAUCCAGACACUCAGUGAGAACCUCCUGGCUCUCCUGACUUUUCUAUGCUUUAUCCUGCACGUGGCUCCUGUGUGUGGACGAGGUGCUGCACUGGGCGACUCUGGGGAUGCCUGUCCUGUAGGGUUCCCAGUCCAGUGAUGGAGAGGGAGCCAAACAAUCACAAUCCAGGGUGAUCAAAGCUGUGACAGCUGGGGCUGGGGAUACAAAGGACUUGUGACAGCUCUUUAAUGGGCAGGAUCUGCCAGGUGGAGAGGCACGUACUUCCUUAGCCAUUCAUGAUUUAUUCACUGACCCAUGGGCCACACAUUGCCUGAGGCCUCCAUGGGCCAGGGACAGAAAAUGUCAGGGUCCCAGAGCCCAAGCAGUCCUGAGCCAUACCCUCCACAAGCUUCCCCAAGGAAGGGAACAGAGUCACCAUCCAGGAGGGAUACAGGCCACAGCGGAGAAAACGCCACUGCUGUCUUUGAAGACUGAGAAGCCAUGAGUCAAGCAAUACAGGUGACCUCCAGAAGCUGGCAACGGGCCAGGAAGGACUAUCUACGUGCUGGAGCCUCCAGAAGGAACAUGGUGGCCCUGCCAACACCUCGCCUCCAGCCCAGCCACAUGCAUUUGGAACUCCUGGCCUCCAGGACUGUAACAUAAUAAAAGUGUGCUGGUGGAA